rnacentral:rRNA from 1 species
GGGGGAAGAAGGGAGAAGGGGCGCAAGAAGGAAACAGACAUGCAGCGGGAGUGAUGACGGCCUUAGGGUUGUAAAGCUCUUUUACCCGGGAAGAUAAUGACGGUACCGGGAGAAUAAGCCCCGGCUAACUUCGUGCCAGCAGCCGCGGUAAUACGAAGGGGGCUAGCGUUGUUCGGAAUCACUGGGCGUAAGGCGCACGUAGGCGGAUCUUUAAGUCAGGGGUGAAAUCCCGGAGCUCAACUCCGGAACUGCCUUCGAUACUGGGUACCUGGAGUAUGGAAGAGGUAAGUGGAAUUCCGAGUGUAGAGGUGAAAUUCGUAGAUAUUCGGAGGAACACCAGUGGCGAAGGCGGCUUACUGGUCCAUUACUGACGCUGAGGUGCGAAAGCGUGGGGAGCAAACA